rnacentral:rRNA from 1 species
CCUACGGGAGGCAGCAGUGGGGAAUAUUGGACAAUGGGGGGAACCCUGAUCCAGCCAUGCCGCGUGUGUGAAGAAGGCCCUCGGGUUGUAAAGCACUUUCAGUGAGGAAGAACGCCUGGUGGUUAAUACCCAUCAGGAAAGACAUCACUCACAGAAGAAGCACCGGCUAACUCCGUGCCAGCAGCCGCGGUAAUACGGAGGGUGCGAGCGUUAAUCGGAAUUACUGGGCGUAAAGCGCGCGUAGGUGGCUUGAUAAGCCGGUUAUGAAAGCCCCGGGCUCAACCUGGGAACGGCAUCCGGAACUGUCAAGCUAGAGUGCAGGAGAGGAAGGUAGAAUUCCCGGUGUAGCGGUGAAAUGCGUAGAGAUCGGGAGGAAUACCAGUGGCGAAGGCGGCCUUCUGGACUGACACUGACACUGAGGUGCGAAAGCGUGGGUAGCAAACAGGAUUAGAUACCCUAGUAGUC